rnacentral:rRNA from 1 species
UACGUAGGGACCUAGCGUUGUCCGGAAUCAUUGGGCGUAAAGCGCGCGUAGGCGGCCCGGUAAGUCCGUUGUAAAAGUCAAAGGCUCAACCUUUGAAAGCCGAUGGAUACUGCCGGGCUAGAGUACGGAAGAGGCGAGUAGAAUUCCUGGUGUAGCGGUGGAAUGCGCAGAUAUCAGGAGGAACACCGGUGGCGAAGGCGGUUCUCUGGGCAUUACCUGACGCUGAGGAGCGAAAGCAUGGGGAGCGAACAGG